UCCAACCCCAUGGCACCGAUCGCCGUGGCGGGGCGGCGGCAACGACCGUCGUCGUGGGUGCGGGCGGCACAGCGGUGGCGGCGACAACAGUCUGUUGUUCGGCGGGUGUCGACAUGCUGUGGCAAGUUUUUUCCUUUCCCCUCUCUGGUCGCGGUCUUGCUGGUGCGCACGCCGAGCGGCGCCGGCCGACCUGCCCACCUACCUGCCAAAAGGCUGGGUCCUCUUUGUCGCCUCGCAGGGCACCGCCACCCCUUGUGCUCUCGCCCUCCUCUUUCUUUUUUUUUCCCGAGAGAUCGCGCUGGUCAUCUGUGUGAUCUUUUUCGAGCACCAUAGAACCCAAUCCCGACGCCCAUGGCCCAGAGGGCGACCAAAAGACUCCCGCCGGCACUUGGGCGUCCAGCGACGCGAAAAAGAACGGACCACACCAGAGUUUUUAUUGCUCCUCUGCGCCUCUGGCUGACCCUCUUUUUCGUGUGCACAAGGUUUCCCCGCCUAAAAAUCACCGACCGACACCAACGAGGCAAAAAAAAGGGGGAACAGACAAGAGCCUUUUGGCAAAGACUGACAAGAAAAAAAGAUUUGCAGAAACAAAA
rnacentral:lncRNA from 1 species